rnacentral:rRNA from 1 species
UACGGAGGGUGCAAGCGUUAAUCGGAAUUACUGGGCGUAAAGCGUGCGCAGGCGGUUUGUUAAGUCUGUUGUGGAAUCCCCGAGCUCAACUUGGGAAUUGCAAUGGAUACUGGCAGGCUGGAGUAUGGUAGAGGAAGGUGGAAUUCCCGGUGUAGCAGUGAAAUGCGUAGAGAUCGGGAGGAACACCAGUGGCGAAGGCGGCCUUCUGGACCAAUACUGACGCUCAUGCACGAAAGCGUGGGGAGCAAACAGG